rnacentral:rRNA from 1 species
ACUCAAAGGAAUUGACGGGGACCCGCACAAGCGGUGGAUGAUGUGGAUUAAUUCGAUGCAACGCGAAAAACCUUACCUACCCUUGACAUGGUCCAAAUCCACCAGAGAUGGUGGAGUGCUCGCAAGAGAAUGGGCACACAGGUGCUGCAUGGCUGUCGUCAGCUCGUGUCGUGAGAUGUUGGGUUAAGUCCCGCAACGAGCGCAACCCUUGUCGUUAAUUGCCAGCAUGUAAUGAUGGGCACUUUAGCGAGACUGCCGGUGACAAACCGGAGGAAGGUGGGGAUGACGUCAAGUCCUCAUGGCCCUUAUGGGUAGGGCUUCACACGUCAUACAAUGGUGCAUACAGAGGGUUGCCAAGCCGUGAGGCGGAGCCAAUCCCAGAAAGUGCAUCGUAGUCCGGAUUGGAGUCUGCAACUCGACUCCAUGAAGUUGGAAUCGCUAGUAAUCGCGGAUCAGCAUGUCGCGGUGAAUACGUUCCCGGGUCUUGCACACACCGCCCGU